UUUAUCGGAGAGUUUGAUCCUGGCUCAGGACGAACGCUGGCGGCGUGCCUAAUACAUGCAAGUCGAGCGGACAGAUGGGAGCUUGCUCCCUGAUGUUAGCGGCGGACGGGUGAGUAACACGUGGGUAACCUGCCUGUAAGACUGGGAUAACUCCGGGAAACCGGGGCUAAUACCGGAUGGUUGUUUGAACCGCAUGGUUCAAACAUAAAAGGUGGCUUCGGCUACCACUUACAGAUGGACCCGCGGCGCAUUAGCUAGUUGGUGAGGUAACGGCUCACCAAGGCGACGAUGCGUAGCCGACCUGAGAGGGUGAUC
rnacentral:rRNA from 1 species